rnacentral:rRNA from 2 species
UACGUAGGGUGCAAGCGUUGCUCGGAAUUACUGGGCGUAAAGGGAGCGCAGGCGGUUUUGUAUGUCGUAGGUGAAAUACUCCGGCUUAACUGGAGAAACGCCUGCGAAACUGCAAGACUAGAGGACAGGAGAGGUGGACGGAAUUCCCGGUGUAGCGGUGAAAUGCGUAGAUAUCGGGAGGAACGCCGAAGGCGAAGGCAAUCCACUGGACUGUUCCUGACGCUCAUGCUCGAAAGCUAGGGGAUCAAACGGG